GCCUAUGUACCACUUCCUCUCACCUCCCGCAUCGGCAUAAAAACUCAUUUUCCUUCUAAUGCCUACCACCAGCCGACCUCAUCCCCGCUCGGUAGGCACGACAUAACAGGUAACCUAAGGUUAACCCUUUAGAGCAGAGGAGGUUGAGACCUAAAAACUUGUUCACUUCAUUCCACAUAAUUAAUAUAACCAUCUCAAACUUAAUUGGCAAAGCAGAAGGGGACCGACCCCCGCUUCCCUACGCACCACCCAUGCCAGGAAAUCACUAAAGCUCUCAAAAACAAAUAGGAUAGGGAGUCACCCUUACGGAGGCACAUAAACACAGAAAAUGACAGCCAAAGGUACAACCCAGGGGAAGGUGACCAUCUGGGUGCAAUGGUAGCAGCUGGAAAGCCGAUUCC